rnacentral:rRNA from 1 species
AGAGUUUGAUCAUGGCUCAGGAUGAACGCUAGCGGCAGGCUUAAUACAUGCAAGUCGAGGGGCAUCAAGGUACACGAAAGUGUAUUGUUGGCGACCGGCGGACGGGUGAGUAAUAGGUAGGUAACCUACCUCAUACUGAGGCAUAGCUGGGAGAAAUUCCAGGUAAUUCCUCAUGAGGUUAUAUGACACAUGUGAUAUAAUCAAAGGUAUCGCAAGGUACUGGUAUGAGAUGGGCUUACUGACCAUUAGCUAGUUGGUGAGAUAAGAGCUCACCAAGGCGAAGAUGGUUAGGGGUUUUGAGAGAGAGAUCCCCCACAUUGGAACUGAGAUACGGUCCAGACUCCUACGGGAGGCAGCAGUAGGGAAUAUUGGGCAAUGGGCGGAAGCCUGACCCAGCCAUGCCGCGUGAAGGAAGACGGCCUUAUGGGUUGUAAACUUCUUUACUAUGCGACUAACUAGAUUUACGAGAUAAUUCUAUAGAAUGUAGCAUAGCAAAAAGCACCGGCUAACUCCGUGCCAGCAGCCGCGGUAAUACGGAGGGUGCGAGCGUUAUUCGGAAUUACUGGGUUUAAAGGGUGCGUAGGCGGCUAAGUAAGUUGUCAUUGAAAGGCUACAGCUCAACUGUAGUAGUGGUGGCGAUACUGCUUAGCUAAGAACAUGGGAGGGGUACUUGGAAUGUGUGGUGUAGCGGUGAAAUGCGUAGAUAUCACACAGAACACCAGAGGCGAAGGCGGAGUACUAGACCAUAGUUGACGCUGAGGCACGAAAGCGUGGGGAUCAAACAGGAUUAGAUACCCUGGUAGUCCACGCCCUAAACGAUGAUCACUAGAUAUUGGCGACAAACAGUCAGUGUCCAAGCGAAAGUGAUAAGUGAUCCACCUGGGGACUACGGCCGCAAGGUUAAAACUUAAAUGAAUUGACGG